GUGGCAAAGCCUUGGGUAAAAAUAGCACUUGGUGCGGUUAUUGCACUUAAAUUAUUUUUGCGCUUUUUAAAUUUUAAAUAGGAAACCAUAUGAAUAAGGGAGAAACCGUAGGCUGACGAGCAAAAGGAGGAAUCUGCCCGAGGAGGGGCUCGAGUCUGAUUAGCUAGUUAGUGAGGCAAUAGCUUACCAAGGCGAUGAUCAGUAGCUGGUCCGAGAGGAUGAUCAGCCACAUUGGGACUAAGACACGGCCCAGACUCCUACGGGAG
rnacentral:ncRNA from 1 species